rnacentral:rRNA from 1 species
GCCCCAAGUAUUUUUCACCCAUGUCUUUUGCGCACUUUUUGUUUCCUGGGCGAGUUCGCUCGCCACCAGGACCCAACCAUAAACCUUUUUUUAUGCAGUUGCAAUCAGCGUCAGUAUAAUAAUUCAAUUUAUUAAAACUUUCAACAACGGAUCUCUUGGUUCUGGCAUCGAUGAAGAACGCAGCGAAAUGCGAUACGUAGUGUGAAUUGCAGAAUUCAGUGAAUCAUCGAAUCUUUGAACGCACAUUGCGCCCUUUGGUAUUCCAAAGGGCAUGCCUGUUCGAGCGUCAUUUGUACCCUCAAGCUUUGCUUGGUGUUGGGCGUCUUUUUGUCUCUCCCCUUGUUGGGGGAGACUCGCCUUAAAACGAUUGGCAGCCGACCUACUGGUUUUCGGAGCGCAGCACAAAUUUGCGCCUUCCAAUCCACGGGGCGGCAUCCAGCAAGCCUUUGUUUUCUAUAACAAAUCCACAUUUUGACCUCGGAUCAGGUAGGGAUACCCGCUGAACUUAAGCAUAUCAAUA